GAUGAAGAAACGCAGCGAAAUGCGAUACGUAGUGUGAAUUGCAGAAUUCAGUGAAUCAUCGAAUCUUUGAACGCACAUUGCACCUCUCGGUAUUCCGGGAGGUAUGCCUGUUCGAGCGUCAUUUGUACCCUCAAGCUCUGCUUGGUGUUGGGUGUUUGUUCCGCCUCUGUGUGUGAACUCGCCUCAAAACAAUUGGCAGCCGGCGUACUUGUUUCGGAGCGCAGCACAUUUUGUGAUCCAGAUCAACGUACAGCGGCAUCCAAGAAGCCUUAUUUAACGCUCUUGUCCUCGGAUCAGGUAGGGAUACCCGCUGAACUUAAGCAUAUCAAUAAGCGGAGGA
rnacentral:misc_RNA from 1 species